CCUUGUACACACCGCCCGUCACACCACGAAAGUUGGCAACACCCGAAGCCGGUGGCCUAACCAGCAAUGGAAGGAGCCGUCGAAGGUGGGGUCAGUGAUUGGGGUG
rnacentral:rRNA from 1 species